CUGAGCUGGGUCUGGAAGAGUCCCUAGGCAUAGGCCGGCUGCAGUGGGCGGGGUAAUGGCUUAUCCAGGCCACUGGAGCAGAGAAGGCAAGAAUAGAAAAAGAGAACUGAGACAAUUCCUUUAAAUAGCGGCUGCUGAUGAGGCAAGAAGGCAUUCGCUCAAGGGGGUUUGGGAUAUGAAGAGAAGGGUUUACUUUAAGGCCAAGGAUGGGGAAGGUCUGAGUAGCUUGUACACAGGAAGAAUUAAGUGCUGCUCUGUGCUCAGUGCGGUUGUGGAGGGAGCAGCUGGCUGCACUGGUCCAUGGCUGGGUUUGGCAGGAGCGAGAACACCAGCCCGGAGCAGACACAGCAUUCCUGGGGCAGGACUGCCCCGCAUGUCACAUCACGAAGCCCAGUGCCCGGCACACAGUAAGUGCUCAACAAACAUGAGGGGUCCUGGGAUGGCUCUCAACCCCAGUGUUCCAUGUGGGAUUGGUUCUCCAUCUCCUGCGCUGGUCUGUGAGCCCCCCAAGAGCUGGGACCCAGUUAAUGCACAUCCUCCUCAGAGCCAGCCCCGGCCUGGCAAAUGUUUACCGCAAGGAUGCAUGAAGUGGGAGCUGGGGGGAGGUGAGGCCACCCAGAGAUUGUCUCUAAGGCAAAGGAUGGGCAGAGAGGUGCCCCAGACCCCCACCCCUCACACCCCACAGGGCAGGCAGGGGCCAGCCUGUGGUUGGCUGACAAAACUUGUCCCCACACCCCUUGAACCCCCCAGUGGAGCCCCUCUAGUGGGGGAGGGGAGCAAGAGCCUGACCCCCACCUCUGCACGGGCUGAGUGACUCAGGUCACUAGACCUGGCUCCUGGGGACAUCACGACCACACUGUGGUGUGGGCAGGGGGCUCCAGGUGAUGGUGUCUCCCCACUGCUCACACACAGCCACCCUUCUGCGCCCGGAUUCAGACACCCCUGCAGCCCCACAGGGUCCCCUGCCCACUCGCUGAGGGAGCCCCUGUGUUCUGCGGUCCCCACGCCUGCAGGUGCCCACCUGUCUCUGCUGCCAGGGAGUUUGUUUUUCAAACAUUCCGUGGACAUUCUAGUCCCACAAAAAGCAGCUCAAUUCAGUAUUCACCAUGUCCUGACACGUAAGUCUCUGCAUAUCCUCUUCCUCUCUCUGUCUCUCUCUCUUUCUGUUUGUGUCUCUGUCUCUCUGUGUGUCCCUCUCUAUGUCUCUGUCUCUCCCUCUCUCUUCCUCUCUCCCUCCCUUCCCUCCACCAACAAUAUGUCAGGACAAUCUGUCCCCUCGCAGAGGGACCAUCGAGCAACAUCAAGCAAUAUUUCAACACGUGUAACCAGCUUGCCUGGCCCUCUGGUCCCCGUGCUGAGCAAGGGCCAUCACAAAGGCUGCGUGUGACCGAGCCCUGACUGGUUCAAAGCGUGUCCAAAAGCUCUGCGUCAGCUCUGCUGAAAAUGAGGUCCCUUAAUGACACUCAUUUUAUCUUUGCAAAAGGACAAGGCUGAGGGCAGGGGACCUGGGCAGGGCUGCAGGAGACUUGGCUGUGUGUCCUGGCCUCGCCGCUCAUAGCCGUGGACUCGAGGUGUGCCCCUCACCUGACAGAGCCUCAGUUUCCCCGUCAGCCAAGGGGGACAAUGAUGGCACCUUCCUUGUGGGGAGGAUCCAGAGGCAGGUGUGGAGUUGUCAGCGCCGUGCUCAGAAAUGAUGGUUCUGGAUGGAGACAUUGGUGUCUUCUUGUUUUGUCCUCAGCACAGGUGUCCUGAACUCCGAUUUGGCAAACAGGGAACCUGAGGGCCAGCAAGUUUAGCUGAGGGGCCCAGGGCAC
rnacentral:lncRNA from 1 species